GCCGAAGUGGUGAAAUCGGUAGACACGCAUGGUUCAGAGCCAUGUGGGCGCAAGCUCGUGGAGGUUCAAGUCCUCUCUUCGGCA
rnacentral:tRNA from 1 species